AUUGAAUCUAACAUGUGACAGAUGAACGGAUUUGAUGAGUUAUCCUUGAUCUAUAUUUUGUCAGGACUCAUGAUAGAAGAACCGAACUAUACGAUAACUACACCUAGAGUUCAAUAUUCUAUUCUACUGGAUUGCCACUACAUACUGCUAGAUGUCACUGAUGGAUUGUGAGACUUGUCGAGCAUCGUCUUGAUGAUCGAUGACCCUUGAUGGGCAG
rnacentral:lncRNA from 1 species